AGAGUUUGAUCCUGGCUCAGAUUGAACGCUGGCGGCAUGCCUUACACAUGCAAGUCGAACGGCAGCACGGGAGCUUGCUCCUGGUGGCGAGUGGCGAACGGGUGAGUAAUAUAUCGGAACGUACCCAGUAGUGGGGGAUAGCCCGGCGAAAGCCGGAUUAAUACCGCAUACGAUCUACGGAUGAAAGCGGGGGAUCUUCGGACCUCGCGCUAUUGGAGCGGCCGAUAUCUGAUUAGCUAGUUGGUGAGGUAAAGGCUCACCAAGGCGACGAUCAGUAGCUGGUCUGAGAGGACGACCAGCCACACUGGAACUGAGACACGGUCCAGACUCCUACGGGAGGCAGCAGUGGGGAAUUUUGGACAAUGGGGGCAACCCUGAUCCAGCAAUGCCGCGUGAGUGAAGAAGGCCUUCGGGUUGUAAAGCUCUUUUGUCAGGGAAGAAACGGCGAGCUCUAACAUAGCUUGCUAAUGACGGUACCUGAAGAAUAAGCACCGGCUAACUACGUGCCAGCAGCCGCGGUAAUACGUAGGGUGCGAGCGUUAAUCGGAAUUACUGGGCGUAAAGCGUGCGCAGGCGGUUGUGCAAGACAGAUGUGAAAUCCCCGGGCUUAACCUGGGAAUUGCAUUUGUGACUGCACGGCUAGAGUGUGUCAGAGGGGGGUAGAAUUCCACGUGUAGCAGUGAAAUGCGUAGAGAUGUGGAGGAAUACCGAUGGCGAAGGCAGCCCCCUGGGAUAACACUGACGCUCAUGCACGAAAGCGUGGGGAGCAAACAGGAUUAGAUACCCUGGUAGUCCACGCCCUAAACGAUGUCAACUAGUUGUCGGGUCUUAAUUGACUUGGUAACGCAGCUAACGCGUGAAGUUGACCGCCUGGGGAGUACGGUCGCAAGAUUAAAACUCAAAGGAAUUGACGGGGACCCGCACAAGCGGUGGAUGAUGUGGAUUAAUUCGAUGCAACGCGAAAAACCUUACCUACCCUUGACAUGUC
rnacentral:rRNA from 1 species